rnacentral:pre_miRNA from 1 species
AUAGUCAUCACCUGGGUAUCUUGUUAAAAUGCAGAUUCUGAUCCAGUAAGUUUGGGGUAGGGACCUGAGAGUCCACCUUUCUAACUAGCUCCCAGGUGGUGGUGAU